AGCGAACGCUGGCGGCAGGCUUAACACAUGCAAGUCGAGCGGGCACUUUCGGGUGUCAGCGGCGGACGGGUGCGUAACGCGUGGGAACGUGCCCUCUGGUUCGGAAUAACUCAGGGAAACUUGAGCUAAUACCGGAUACGCCCUUUUGGGGAAAGGCUUGCUGCCGGAGGAUCGGCCCGCGUCUGAUUAGCUAGUUGGUGAGGUAACGGCUCACCAAGGCGACGAUCAGUAGCUGGUCUGAGAGGAUGAUCAGCCACACUGGGACUGAGACACGGCCCAGACUCCUACGGGAGGCAGCAGUGGGGAAUAUUGGACAAUGGGCGCAAGCCUGAUCCAGCCAUGCCGCGUGAGUGAUGAAGGCCUUAGGGUUGUAAAGCUCUUUUAUCCGGGACGAUAAUGACGGUACCGGAGGAAUAAGCCCCGGCUAACUUCGU
rnacentral:rRNA from 1 species